rnacentral:rRNA from 1 species
CAAAAUGACUCUCGACAACGGAUAUCUCGGCUCUUGCAUCGAUGAAGAACGUAGCGAAAUGCGAUACGUGGUGUGAAUUGCAGAAUCCCGUGAACCAUCGAGUUUUUGAACGCAAGUUGCGCCCAAAGCCUUUUGGUUGAGGGCACGUCUGCCUGGG